UACAGAGGGUGCGAGCGUUAAUCGGAAUUACUGGGCGUAAAGCGCGCGUAGGCGGCUUUUCAAGUCGAUUGUGAAAUCCCCGGGCUUAACCUGGGAACUGCAGUCGAGACUGUCUAGCUAGAGUAUGGGAGAGGGAAGUGGAAUUUCAGGUGUAGCGGUGAAAUGCGUAGAUAUCUGAAGGAACAUCAGUGGCGAAAGCGACUUCCUGGACCAAUACUGACGCUGAGGCGCGAAAGCCAGGGGAGCAAACGGG
rnacentral:rRNA from 1 species